CACGUAGGGGGCGAGCGUUGUCCGGAUUUAUUGGGCGUAAAGAGCUCGUAGGCGGCUCCGUGAGUGAGGUGUGAAAACUCCAGGCUCAACCUGGAGACGCCACCUCAUACUGCGGUGGCUAGAGUCCGGUAGGGGAGCAUGGAAUUCCUGGUGUAGCGGUGAAAUGCGCAGAUAUCAGGAGGAACACCAGUGGCGAAGGCGGUGCUCUGGGCCGGUACUGACGCUGAGGAGCGAAAGCGUGGGGAGCGAACAGG
rnacentral:rRNA from 1 species